UAAUACAUGCAAGUCGAACGCGUUGGCCCAAUUGAUUGAUGGUGCUUGCACCUGAUUGAUUUUGGUCGCCAACGAGUGGCGGACGGGUGAGUAACACGUAGGUAACCUGCCCAGAAGCGGGGGACAACAUUUGGAAACAGAUGCUAAUACCGCAUAACAGCGUUGUUCGCAUGAACAACGCUUAAAAGAUGGCUUCUCGCUAUCACUUCUGGAUGGACCUGCGGUGCAUUAGCUUGUUGGUGGGGUAAYGGCCUACCAAGGCGAUGAUGCAUAGCCGAGUUGAGAGACUGAUCGGCCACAAUGGGACUGAGACACGGCCCAUACUCCUACGGGAGGCAGCAGUAGGGAAUCUUCCACAAUGGGCGCAAGCCUGAUGGAGCAACACCGCGUGAGUGAAGAAGGGUUUCGGCUCGUAAAGCUCUGUUGUUAAAGAAGAACACGUAUGAGAGUAACUGUUCAUACGUUGACGGUAUUUAACCAGAAAGUCACGGCUAACUACGUGCCAGCAGCCGCGGUAAUACGUAGGUGGCAAGCGUUAUCCGGAUUUAUUGGGCGUAAAGAGAGUGCAGGCGGUUUUCUAAGUCUGAUGUGAAAGCCUUCGGCUUAACCGGAGAAGUGCAUCGGAAACUGGAUAACUUGAGUGCAGAAGAGGGUAGUGGAACUCCAUGUGUAGCGGUGGAAUGCGUAGAUAUAUGGAAGAACACCAGUGGCGAAGGCGGCUACCUGGUCUGCAACUGACGCUGAGACUCGAAAGCAUGGGUAGCGAACAGGAUUAGAUACCCUGGUAGUCCAUGCCGUAAACGAUGAGUGCUAGGUGUUGGAGGGUUUCCGCCCUUCAGUGCCGGAGCUAACGCAUUAAGCACUCCGCCUGGGGAGUACGACCGCAAGGUUGAAACUCAAAGGAAUUGACGGGGGCCCGCACAAGCGGUGGAGCAUGUGGUUUAAUUCGAAGCUACGCGAAGAACCUUACCAGGUCUUGACAUCUUGCGCCAACCCUAGAGAUAGGGCGUUUCCUUCGGGAACGCAAUGACAGGUGGUGCAUGGUCGUCGUCAGCUCGUGUCGUGAGAUGUUGGGUUAAGUCCCGCAACGAGCGCAACCCUUGUUACUAGUUGCCAGCAUUAAGUUGGGCACUCUAGUGAGACUGCCGGUGACAAACCGGAGGAAGGUGGGGACGACGUCAGAUCAUCAUGCCCCUUAUGACCUGGGCUACACACGUGCUACAAUGGACGGUACAACGAGUCGCGAACUCGCGAGGGCAAGCAAAUCUCUUAAAACCGUUCUCAGUUCGGACUGCAGGCUGCAACUCGCCUGCACGAAGUCGGAAUCGCUAGUAAUCGCGGAUCAGCAUGCCGCGGUGAAUACGUUCCCGGGCCUUGUACACACCGCCCGUCACACCAUGAGAGUUUGUAACACCCAAAGUCGGUGGGGUAACCUUU
rnacentral:rRNA from 1 species